GAGAAGGCUGUAGGUGGAAAUCUGGGUCUAAAAGUUCUGGGUAGGGAAGAGAGUUCUCAUUUAUUAGAUUGUUUUCUUUUCCUGAACUAUGGAGAGCCCUUUUCAGUUCACUGGGUGUUUGGAAUCUUUGCUCGGGCCUCAUCAGAGACUGAACUCAUCAGCCGAUGUUCCGCUCCAUGAUAUUUGAAACUCCCCUGUUUGAGAGUGCAAAGGAAAAGAUGCAAGAUGCAUUGAUUACCCUUUUGGUACCCCUUCUCAAAACCUCUUUUGGUCCAGUGUCAAGGAAGAAUUUCUCAUCAUCUACUCUUGUUGAAGUUUGUAAGUCUGUGAGAUGAAAAACUGAGAUCUAUUGUGGAAAUUAAAGAAUGCUGUUUUUAACCACUCAUAGGGAAAAUAAGGUGAAGAAAUGAGGCUGCAUGUAUGUUGGAAAGUUUCUCAAGGUAAGUGGACUGAAGCUCAGGUACAGUGAGCUCAGACUUUAUCAGUUAAUCCUCAUUACCUAUGUUGUCACCCUAGUAGGUGUCCAAUAAAUAUUUGUGAAGAAGGCAGCUGUAUACAUUAACACUUUCUUAAUUAAGCCAAAUACUUUUUAUAAUUUGACCUGUAAUUAUGCAAUGUUUGUGGGCAGCCACAGUGAACCAGUGCUUCUUAUCAUGCUUGGGGUCAAUUUCAAGGAUAAUCGAGGACAGAAGUUCACAAGAUCUAAUAAAUCCAAAUGCCUAACUUACAUGGGUUUAAGUACUUUUUUAUAGGAUACAGCAUUUCUUGUAAGUAUUGAUUAUAGCCGUAAAGUGGGAAGGCCAUAAACUAACCUAGAAGACCUCGUUUUACAUGUUCUGCCACUAACAAGCUGUAUAAAAUUGAGAUGCCUCUUUUCCUUACUAGGCUCUAAUGAUUUCUUUUAUAAAAUGACCAACUAGAUACAAUAUCCUCACAUGUCAUUUCCAAUUCUGAUCAUUCCUAUUCCUACAUAGCCAUGUAAGCAACAAACUGUUAAGUCAGAGAGGGAAGAACACAGGAGAUGCUCCAUAUUCCCAGCGGUCCAUGAGCUCCUGAGCUGAUAAAUACUCAAGGGACUUCCUGGAUGCAGCCUUAUAUUGC